UUUUUGGGGGGAGGGGGGAGAGACAAAAUUGAUAUUUACAGAUAGAUUCUUACCUAUAAAAUCCAAAAGAAUACAAAGGUUCAGCUGAAUGAGCAGAUGGAUCAACAUACCAAAAAAAACAAAUUAUCCUAGGGCCCAUUAUGAAAAGUAAACAACAACAAAAGCUGGUAGGUUAAACGUAAAAGGACAUGUGCAGAACAGCACGAAGACCGGAAGACUUCACAGGAACCACAGGGAAGACUCCAAUUCAUGGAGCAAAAACCACAUUACCAGACAGUCUCAAUAUCUUAUUAGUAUCAAAUCUGGGCAAAUUAAUCUACAAAAAAAAACCAACACAAAUCCUGGAAAACUUGGCCACGUGGCCACAAUCUUGUAACAGAACCUGAAAUGAAAUCUCUAACAAAUUCCUGGGGGUAAAUGCUGCCAUUUGUUGACACUCUGUUAUAGAAUUUGGCCCCACGAUUUGAGAUUCCGGGCAACCCCUGGCCCACAGGCUUGACUGCAGGCCUUGCGCCGGAAGAGCCACGUGGGCCCCGCCCCUAUCUGUGUCGUGGACCGAACGUUUCCGGCGGCUGGCGAGUGCACGCAUGCGUGGAGGCCCCGCCCCGCCCACCCCGCUCAGUAGCUCGUGGUCCAGCGUCGGGCGUCAGCUCCCCUCGUUCCUCUGCACCCUCGGGCCCCGGCUGGAGCCGGCCCAGGAAGGUCGUUGCCCCUGCAGUUUACACCAUGGCAGGCAGGUUCUGUAGACAUGAGUAAGAAGUCCCCACGCACAAGUCCUGAAGAUGCCAGGACCAGCAGAAAUGAAGGCAAAUACAAACAAACGGGGGAAAAAGAGCAAAGCCAGAAACACCAACAUAGAUCAACAUCUUACUCUUCAGAUGACCGUGUGUUUCCCUCUUCUUCUUCGUCUUCUGAAAGCGAGACAGAUUCAAGUAUUAACGGACAAAAGAUGAAACAUCAAGAAAAAGAACAAGAAGGAAAAAAGGAGGAAACAACCACAUAUCACCUUCCCAAGAGGGUCUGAAGCCAGACUCAACUUCUUGAUUUCCAAAACUCAGCCUUUCGGUUUAAGUGGCCAAUGAGGAUGCAGAGCCUAAACUGAAACCACAGAAACACUGCAGAGCUGGGGGAAGGUGUCUUGACACACGUCUAGACUCCGGAGAACAGUCUUUGCAUCCUCUGUAACAGGCAAUAAAGGGUUGGGACGUCA